GAAGAAAAAGAAGAAAAAGAAGAAGAAGAAUCAUAAUUCCAAUAACUUUCACUCUCACUGCUCUCAAAAGUAGGAACCUCAUUCCAUCUCUCUUCUUCUUCUUCUUCUUCUCUCUUUACUC
rnacentral:ribozyme from 13 species